UACGUAGGGGGCAAGCGUUGUCCGGAUUUAUUGGGCGUAAAGAGCGUGUAGGCGGUUUGGUAGGUCCGCUGUGAAAACUCGAGGCUCAACCUCGAGACGCCGGUGGAAACCAUCAGACUAGAGUCCGGAAGAGGAGAGUGGAAUUCCUGGUGUAGCGGUGAAAUGCGCAGAUAUCAGGAAGAACACCCGUGGCUAAGGCGGCUCUCCAGUACGGUACUGACGCUGAGACGCGAAAGCGUGGGGAGCGAACAGG
rnacentral:rRNA from 1 species